rnacentral:misc_RNA from 1 species
CCAUUUGCAGUUUUAGUGAGAGAACAACUUGGAUGGCUGUUCUCUGUUGGGAAUCUUUGCAUGGUUGGCUACAUGCAGCGGUGCAGGCUCUUCCAGUCGAGUAUCUAAAGCAAGGGGAAGCCGAAACUCUUGUGCCAAUUUGGUUGGAUGCUCUUGUUGGUGCUGCCUCAGACUAUCUCGAGAGUAAGAGUUGCAAUGGAGUAAAAAACAAUUAUGGGCAUAUGCAAGGGAAAGGUGGAAGGGUUUGGAAGCGAUUAGUUCGAGAAUUUGCUGAUAGUCACCGUAAUGUCCCAUCCCAAAUUUAACAUAACUCGCAUCAAACAUAAGCUAAUCCAGUCCACAGCUUCAAGAGCUGCUGAGCCUGUUGCUGCUGGUACUAUCUCAGUUGUAAUUUGUUGGCUUGCUUUCAAGCUUGGAAAAUCCCGGGGUCUAUCUUUUGAGCAAAAGUCCCCACAUUGUAAUUACUCCCGUUGCCAUAUUUUUGUUUUCUGUACAGUUUUCUCCCAAC